ACCUGCUGCUUUCUUGGGGUUUAGGCGACUGAUUGCUUCUAUGAUCUCUGCAGAAGUGAAGGGUUGGAUAGGAGGGGACAUUUGGAAGAGAGUGAAGGGUUGGAUAGGAGGGGACAUUUGGAAGGGAGUGUGCAGGUAUUCGGUGACGUCCGCUGCAGCUAUGGAGGAAUGGGGUUGGAAUACUUCAGUCAAGUGUUUGGCAAAUAGGUUGGCUUUUUCUAUAGGGCUACGCGCCCAUCCACCCUGCGGGCGGCGGAUUGGAGGUAUUAUUUGUGGGGGGCGCGUGAGUUUCCUGGAGGCUUUCCAUAGUGAGUAGUUUGAGUCGGCUGUGGGGGACAGGCUGGCGAGAUAUUUGUGAAAACGGUCAUUAUUGUAGUUCUUUAUGGUUUUGGAUAGUUUUCUAGUUGCGUUGUUUAGUUUGCGUUUGUCCUCCGGUGUUCUAUGGGUCUGCCAUAUCCUUCUUAGUCUACGUUUUUCUG
rnacentral:misc_RNA from 1 species